UGCGUAGGCGGAUAGAUAAGUCAGAGGUGAAAGCCCACAGCUCAACUGUGGAAUUGCCUUUGAUACUGUUUAUCUUGAAUAAGGUUGAGGUUAGCGGAAUGUGGCAUGUAGCGGUGAAAUGCAUAGAUAUGCCAUAGAACACCAAUUGCGUAGGCAGCUAGCUAGGCCUUUAUGACGCUGAGGCACGAAAGCAUGGGGAGCGAACA
rnacentral:rRNA from 1 species